rnacentral:rRNA from 1 species
UACGGAGGGUGCAAGCGGUUAUCCGGAUUCACUGGGUUUAAAGGGUGUCGUGAGGUGGGUUGGUGAAGUCAGUGGUGAAUCACCGAGCUUAACUUGGAAACUGCCAUUGAUACUAUCAGUCUUGAAUAUUGUGGAGGUUAGCGGAAUAUGUCAUGUAGCGGUGAAAUGCUUAGAUAUGACAUAGAACACCAAUUGCGAAGGCAGCUGGCUACACAUAUAUUGACACUGAGGCACGGAAAGCGUGGGGAUCAAACAGG